CCGCACAGACACAGACUCAAAGGUGCUUUUUGAAUAAUAAUACUGGCAAGUCAGACUGUUCUUGAAUAUUUCCUGUCAAAUAAGGUGGAAAAUCUUCAUGUUGGCCUUGAGUUAUACAGGAGUUCUAGUCUGAGGGAUGAGCUUGUUCAUGCAGAUACUCAUGUCUCUUCUCCAACCACCCCAAUUGAUGCCCAGGGGCAACACUUGACUGUUCCUACAGGACAAACAUCAGAAUAGUUGUCAAGCAGUCUUUCUAUCACGACAGGCUGCUGUGAUGAUUCAGAACAGGGGUUUCUGUCUAUCUGUGGCCUCCUCCUCCAGAUCAAUCAACAUGCUGCCAGCCUUAGCCAGAGUUUCAGCAAAUGGAAACAUAAACAAACUUUGUCUCUCAAACCCAAACAAGCCUUCAAACGCUGACCUUGAUGAAAACGCACUCAGUUACACACACAUAUGUUGCACCUAGGCGUUAAACACCACUUUGAAGCUGCAGAAAAGACUAAUACACUCACAACUUGAUAUAUUUGCACAAGUAAUCUAGACAUACACAGCAUAUCCGCACCAGAGGAUGAGAGGACUGAAUUUAUAAUCCUGGGGAAAAAAAAAAAAUACUACGAAAUAAACAUCUCUGACUCAUUCAAGGAAAGAUAGUGACUUCCAGUUAUCACUUACUGUGCUAAUCAUAUAGAACUGAACAAAGGAUAUUCUCACAAUUAAUUCCACCUAAUUUGUUUCAUAACUACAUGUGUUGCUCAAGUGCUGCUUGAAGGCAUAGUUCACUCCAAAUUUUCAUCAUUUACAUCCAAAUGAUAUUAGUUUACUCAUCCUCGUGUCAUUUCAAAAUCGUUUGAAACAAGUGGUUUCAUCUAACAGGAUGUCUAAGCUGCUUUUUUUCCCACACAAUGAAAGUGAAUGGUGAUCAUGAUUGUCUCUGGUCCCUACCUACUUUCACUAAAUAAAAAAAAGCAGCUUGGACGUUCUGCUAAAUACUUCCUUCUGUGUUCCACAUAAGAAAGCAAGCCAUGCGGGAUUGAAACAAGGGGAGUGAGUAAAGUACAUAAUUUUCA